rnacentral:rRNA from 1 species
GCUUACGGCCACACCGGCCUGAGUACGCCUGAUCUCGUCCGAUCUCGGAAGCUAAGCAGGGUCGGGCCUGCCUGGUAGUACUUGGAUGGGAGACCGCCUGGGAAUACCAGGUGCUGUAAGCU